GCCAGGCGUGGUGGUGCACACCUGUAAUCCCAGCUACUUUGGAGGCUGAGGCAGGAGAAUCACUUGAACCCAGGAGGUGCAGGUUGCAGUGAGCCAAAAUCAUGCCACUGCACUCCAGCCUGGGUGACAAAGGGAGACUCUGUCUCAA
rnacentral:SRP_RNA from 1 species